rnacentral:rRNA from 1 species
UACGUAGGGGGCUAGCGUUGUCCGGAAUCAUUGGGCGUAAAGAGCGUGUAGGCGGUCCGGUAAGUCCGCUGUGAAAGUCGGGGGCUCAACCCUCGAAUGCCGGUGGAUACUGUCGGGCUAGAGUGCGGAAGAGGCGAGUGGAAUUCCUGGUGUAGCGGUGAAAUGCGCAGAUAUCAGGAGGAACACCUAUUGCGAAGGCAGCUCGCUGGGACGUAACUGACGCUGAGGCACGAAAGCGUGGGGAGCGAACCGG